rnacentral:rRNA from 1 species
UCGGGAAUUUUGGGCAAUGGGCGAAAGCCUGACCCAGCAACGCCGCGUGAAGGAUGAAGUAUUUCGGUAUGUAAACUUCGAAAGAAUAGGAAGAAUAAAUGACGGUACUAUUUAUAAGGUCCGGCUAACUACGUGCCAGCAGCCGCGGUAAUACGUAGGGACCAAGCGUUGUUCGGAUUUACUGGGCGUAAAGGGCGCGUAGGCGGCAAUUCAAGUCAUCUGUGAAAUCUCCGAGCUUAACUCGGAACGGUCAGAUGAUACUGCUGUGCUAGAGUACAGAAAGGGCAAUCGGAAUUCUUGGUGUAGCGGUGAAAUGCGUAGAUAUCAAGAGGAACACCUGAGGCGAAGGCGGGUUGCUAGGCUGAUACUGACGCUGAGGCGCGAAAGCU